AGUGAACGCUGGCGGUAGGCCUAACACAUGCAAGUCGAACGGCAGCACAGUAAGAGCUUGCUCUUACGGGUGGCGAGUGGCGGACGGGUGAGGAAUACAUCGGAAUCUACUUUUUCGUGGGGGAUAACGUAGGGAAACUUACGCUAAUACCGCAUACGACCUACGGGUGAAAGCAGGGGAUCUUCAGACCUUGCGCGAUUGAAUGAGCCGAUGUCGGAUUAGCUAGUUGGCGGGGUAAAGGCCCACCAAGGCAACGAUCCGUAGCUGGUCUGAGAGGAUGAUCAGCCACACUGGAACUGAGACACGGUCCAGACUCCUACGGGAGGCAGCAGUGGGGAAUAUUGGACAAUGGGCGCAAGCCUGAUCCAGCCAUACCGCGUGGGUGAAGAAGGCCUUCGGGUUGUAAAGCCCUUUUGUUGGGAAAGAAAAGCAGCAGGUUAAUACCCCGCUGUUCUGACGGUACCCAAAGAAUAAGCACCGGCUAACUUCGUG
rnacentral:rRNA from 1 species